rnacentral:rRNA from 1 species
GAGCGGGAUAUACAUUGAAGCUAACUUCGGUUAUGUAGAAGUAUAUAUCUAGCGGCGGACGGGUGAGUAACGCGUGGGUAACCUACCUAAUGGUUCGGGAUAACAGUUGGAAACGGCUGCUAAUACCGGAUAAGCUCACACUACGGCAUUGUAGAGUGAGAAAAGGUUUACUGCCAUUGGAGGGGCCCGCGUCUGAUUAGCUAGUUGGUGGUGUAAUGGACUACCAAGGCGACGAUCAGUAGCCGACCUGAGAGGGUGAUCGGCCACAUUGGGACUGAGACACGGCCCAAACUCCUACGGGAGGCAGCAGUGGGGAAUAUUGCACAAUGGGCGGAAGCCUGAUGCAGCAACGCCGCGUGCAGGAAGAAGGUUUUCGGAUCGUAAACUGCUAUCGACUGGGACGAUAAUGACGGUACCAGAGUAAGAAGCCCCGGCUAACUACGUGCCAGCAGCCGCGGUAAU